rnacentral:rRNA from 1 species
GACGAACGCUGGCGGCGUGCUUAACACAUGCAAGUCGAACGGAAAGGCCCUGCUUUUGUGGGGUGCUCGAGUGGCGAACGGGUGAGUAACACGUGAGUAACCUGCCCUUGACUUUGGGAUAACUUCAGGAAACUGGGGCUAAUACCGGAUAGGAGCUCCUGCUGCAUGGUGGGGGCUGGAAAGUUUCGGCGGUUGGGGAUGGACUCGCGGCGUAUCAGCUUGUUGGUGGGGUAGUGGCUUACCAUGGCUUUGACGGGUAGCCGGGCUGAGAGGGUGACCGGCCACAUUAGGACGGGGAUGCGGCCCAGACUCCUACGGGAGGCAGCAGUGGGGAAUAGUGCACAAUGGGCGGAAGCCUGAUGCAGCAACGCCGCGUGCGGGAUGACGGCCUGCGGGUUGUAAACCGCUUUCGCCUGUGACGAAGCGUGAGUGACGGUAAUGGGUAAAGAAGCACCGGCUAACUACGUG